AUGGUACAAUGGCGUCUUACUAGUUUUUAUGGUCAUCUCAACUGGAGUGAUCGCUACUUAUCUUGGGAUGAUAUUCGUAACUUGCACAAUAAAGGUGAUCACCCUUGGGUGGUUUUGGGAGACUUUAAUGAAAUUCUUCUUUCUUCAGAAAAAGAGGGAGGCAAUGCGAGACCUAAUGCAAUGACCAUAGAAUUUCGUAAUUUUCUUGAGUGCGGCUUGAAAGACAUGGGAUGUAUUGGAGAUCUUUUCACUUGGAGGAGGGGCGAUAUUAGGGAGAGGCUUGAUCGAGAAGUUUGUAAUGUGGAGUGGGCGAACAAAUUUCCUCGAUCUACGAUUAUAAAUGAGGAACACGUACACUCUGAUCAUCGCCCCCUCAUUCUGGAUACAUAA
rnacentral:rRNA from 1 species